AAGAUACUAGUAGAAAAAGUACAACACCCCCUUGUCAAGGCGGAGCUGUGGGUUAAAACCCCGCGUAUCUUA
rnacentral:tRNA from 1 species